AACGAACGCUGGCGGCAGGCUUAACACAUGCAAGUCGAACGGGCAUAGCAAUAUGUCAGUGGCAGACGGGUGAGUAACGCGUGGGAAUAUGCCCUUUAGUUCGGAAUAACCAAGGGAAACUUUGGCUAAUACCGGAUAAGCCCGAGAGGGGAAAGAUUUAUCGCUGAAGGAGUAGCCCGCGUCUGAUUAGCUAGUUGGUGAGGUAAUGGCUCACCAAGGCGACGAUCAGUAGCUGGUCUGAGAGGAUGAUCAGCCACACUGGGACUGAGACACGGCCCAGACUCCUACGGGAGGCAGCAGUGGGGAAUAUUGGACAAUGGGGGCAACCCUGAUCCAGCCAUGCCGCGUGAGUGAUGAAGGCCUUAGGGUUGUAAAACUCUUUUAUCCGGGAAGAUAAUGACUGUACCGGAAGAAUAAGCCCCGGCUAACUUCGUGCCAGCAGCCGCGGUAAGAC
rnacentral:rRNA from 1 species